GUUCCCCCUUCAUCCCAAGGCUGCAGGAUGGUGUCCUGGAUGAUCUGUCGCCUGGUGGUGUUGGUGUUUGGGAUGCUGUACCCAGCUUAUGCUUCCUACAUAAGGCUGUGAAGACCAAGAACAUUCGUGAAUAUGUCCGGUGGGUGAUGUACUGGAUAGCCUUUGCACUGUUCAUGGCCGUGGAGACCUUCACAGACAUCUUUAUUCCCUGGUUGCCUUUCUGCUAUGAGAUCAAAAUGGCCUUUGUGCUGUGGUUGCUAUCACCUUACACCAAAGGGGCCGGCCUGCUUCACCACAAGUUUGGCCACCCAUCCUUGUCCUGUCACUAGAACGAGAUUGACACCUGCAUCGCGCAGGCCAAGGAGCGCAGCUAUGAGAUGGCGCUCCUCUUUGGGAAAUGGGGCCUCGACAGUGCUGCUUCAGCCACUGUGCAGGCUGCCACCAAGAGUCAGGGUGCGCUGGCCGGAAGGCUGCGAAGUUUCUCCAUACAGGACCUGCGCUCCAUCCCUGAUGCCCCUGCCCCCGCCUCCCGGGAUGCCCUCUACCUGGAGGACCAAGUACCUCGCCGCAGGCCUCCCAUUGGGUACUGAGCAGGGGGCCAGCAAGACAGCGACACCGACGAUGAGUGUUGGUCAGACACAGAGGCAGUUCCCCAGCCACCCAGCCGGCCCCGAGAGAAGCCUCUCGGCCGCAGCCAGAGCCUGCCUGUGGUCAAGAGGAAGCCACCAGUGCGGGAGGGCACCACCUCGCGCUCCCUGAAGGUUCGGACAAGGAAAAAGACCAUUUCUUCAGACAUGAACAGCUAG